rnacentral:misc_RNA from 1 species
CGUGCAGUCGCGUCUUAGAUUUUCCUUACCUAGGCUGCGAGAGCUCACGUUGAACGUGGCGUCGAUUUUUCUCUUACAUGUACUUAGCGGUACAUCUCGCCCGCGUGAAAUCGCUCACGAAUCUUGAACGUUAUGCGGAAGUUUGGUAUUCGUUGAGGGUGCGGACGGAAGUAGCAUCUAUUACCACACAGUAAAGUAGAACAAUCUCAAAGAUGAUGGACGGGCCCGGAUUAGGAUAUUCGUAUCAUCUUCCAUCCGCUGGUUGGAAUCUCAAAGUUAGAAACGCGCUGUCGCAAUUCAGCGACCUGUUCAGUGAAUUUAACAAGUACAUCGCGCCAGCUUAUCACCAUGAUCGCUGCGAGAGAUCUGUAAAAAUGCGUCUGUAUUCGAUGCACAAGAGGGAAUUUGCCAUGGUGUUCAUCGCAUUCUUGGUAUGCUUCGGACUGGCGGUAUUUAUUGGCGUCGCCGGGCCGCCUAUAAUAUCGACUAGCGAACAGAAAGCGCAUCUGAACAGCAGCGAAAUGGCCACUGGCCCAUUCAUCAUGAAGACGCCUCUGUUGUCCACGUAUAGCCAGCAAUUGUGGGUGAUCGCCAAGUUAUCGACAUCGAACAACGACGAUGAAAGAUACGACAAGGGGUUUCAAGUUAGCGUCUCUAUAGACGGUAUCACUUCCAGCCGCAAACUGGUGUCUGUGCUGCCGCUGGAAGCCGGGCAUAAUCGGACCAGACAUCUCAAGUGCGAGAGGCAAUCCUGCGAGGAGCUGGUCGUCGCUCAUCUGGGCUUUCUCGACUACAGCUACUACAUCAUCACCGUCCGUUUCCACGGGCUCGAGAGCUUCCAUCAGCGUUACACGAUACGGCAACUCACAUUCUACUUCAAGAACUAUAAUCCGGCGUUCACGCAGAUCGAGAUUUGGUUCCGGCUGAUCUUCCUGCUUACCACGUUUGGAGUGAUGUGCUGGUUCGGUCACUCGCUCAGGAAGUAUCCGCUGCAUGAUUGGUCGAUCGAGCAAAAGUGGAUCUCUAUACUUCUUCCAUUGCUGAUUCUCUAUAACAAUCCGCUGUUCCCCAUGACCUUCUUGGUGAACUCCUGGGUGCCCGGAAUGCUGGACGCGAUUCUGCAGACCACCUUCCUGUGCGCCAUCCUCAUGUUCUGGCUCUGCGUCUAUCACGGCCUCAGACAGAAUGAGAGACGACUCAUCACAUUUUACCUGCCUAAGUUCCUGGUUGUGGGUAUGCUGUGGGGCGCGGCAUUGAUGUUCGCCACGUGGCUUCGUUGCACCGAACUGGAGGAUCCUACAUAUAAUUACGUCCUCGAUACGUCUAAUUACUACGGCUUCAAGGUCUUCUUCUUCACAGUGGGCGGCUUUUACAUUGCGUAUUUGCUGUUUCUCAUCUUAAGGGCAUACAGCGAACUACGAUGUAUGCCAUACUUUGAUCUUCGUUUGCGUUUCUUGACGUUAUUCGUCACGGUGGUCGCAGGUGUUUGCUGCUUGGUCACCGCUCGUCAUUUCGGAGCCGGUGUAUUGGAGGACAGCUUCGCAUCUCGUCUCUCCACUUAUUACCGCACAUCCGCACAGUUCAUGGCCCUUUACGGUCUUCUCAAUUUCUACCUGUACACCAUGGCGUACGUUUAUGCGCCCGCGCUCCAGCAGGUUUACGGACAACAUUCGUCCAUAACGAAGGAUAAUCCCGCAUUUUCGAUGUUUAACGAUUCAGAGGAAGAAGUCAUAUAUGGAUCAGACGAGGACAGUCGGCGACCGUUGACUCGCGCCCCGCGAAACGCGGAGGACAGUGAUUAAAGGCCUUAAUGCGAAAGACAAGAGAAGAACGAGGAAAAAGCGAAACGUUUUUAAUAUGCUACGCUAGUUAAAGGAUAGAUUCGUCGAACGAGGAGACCAGUCAAGAGGAAAGAGCCAGCCCCGACGCGACGGGUACCGGCUUCCCGGAUCGCGUGUGUUCUAGUUAUUCAGCAGUCGUACUGCUGAGGCCGUAAAAAGGAAGAAAGAACAAACGCGAUAUCGUGUAGAUAAUAAUUUUGUUGAGGAAUUAAACCUGUGUUGAUCUUGGACGAAGAUUUCGGCAAUCGGAGUCACGUUUACACAGGACUCGGAUAUUAAAGUAUAAUGUAAAGAAGAAGACAAACAUACACACACAUCCACACAUACACCGAUAACGUGAAAACACGCUUCGUGUGUUGCAGCGUAUACACCGAAUCAGACCCGAUGAUGAUGAUAUAACACGCCUCGAUAACGCGCCUGUGCGUAACUUAGAGAAAUGCAUAAAACGGCGAGACGAGAGAGGCAGCAAACAAAUAUUGUAUUACGUUACGUACUCGUAAGAUAUUACAAUAGUUUUUAUACGAGAUGUAUUUAACUGUUGGUAUGGCGAAUUUAAUAAAAAUAAGAGACACAUAGCUAAGAGCAUACGCAGCGAGCAUCACCGAGAGGAAGCGUUAACGAAGAUCUACUAAACUAAAGAAAGAGAGAAAGAAAGAAAAGAAAAAGAAAGAAAAAGAAAGAAAUAAAAAAAAGAAGAGUGUGCAAAUGUAAUACCGAUGUAAGAUACGUGUGUUUUAUACCUGAUAUCCUAUCUGCUCAACCCUCCUCCCCUCACCGAAAGAAAAAAAAAAGGAAAAGAACAAUAGAAACUAAGACGCAAGUACAUACGCCUUAGAAAGGAAAAGGAACGGAGAAAAUCAACAGGAUACUAAUCGUCGCUAUGAUUUUGUGCCGCUAACGCUGUCGUGUACGUGAUUGGUUAAUAAAAACGAUUUGCAAUCAUUGCUUA